AUGGCCAAGGACCUCCGCAUUUGGAGCCAGAGCCUCUUUGGCAACGCAAAGCUGCAAUUCCACAUUGCCUGCGAGGUCAUCUUGCGCCUUGAUGAGGCCCAGGAAAGGCGUCAACUCUCGCCGGCCGAACGAGAGCUGAGGAAGGGCCUCAAGCUCAGGCUGCUAGGGCUGGUAGCGAUCGAGUGUUGCAGGAAGAGGCAGGCCUCUAGGCUUACCUGGCUGUGCUCUGGCGAUGCCCCAACCAAGUUCUUCAUGGCAAAAAUUUGCUCGAGAAGGAGGAAGAAUUUCGUUCAUGCUCUAAAAGUAAAUGAAACAGUAGCCACGGCGCACAGCGACAAAUAAGUGGACAUUCACAGCCAUUUUGCCAGCAUCCUCGGGUCUACCAAGCAGAGAUCAACUACGAUAAACUGGAAUCAGAUUGACAUGCCAACAAUUCAAGGCGGGGGGCUUGACAACCCUUUCUCUGAGCAAGAAGUGUGGGCAGCGAUUUAG
rnacentral:rRNA from 1 species